rnacentral:tRNA from 1 species
GGAGAGUUGGCAGAGCGGUAAUGCAGUGGUUUGCUAAAUCAUACACCGGCAACGGUGCAAGGGUUCGAAUCCUUUACUCUCCG